AGAAGUUUUUAAACAAAUCUACAUGCAAGUGAAAGAAGUUAAUUGAAAAGUGUGAAUACUUGUUUUAUGUGAAAAAAAGUCGGAAUCGAUUGGACUAAUAGGAACCUUGAACAUUUUCGACCAGAAAAUUUCGGACUCCACCGUAUUCAAAAAGAGACUAGAGCAGUUUUUCAAUGCCAACAAAAUAUCCGAAGAGGACAGAAAAAAAGCGAUCCUCCAAAACACAUUAUCAUAAGAUCGCUAUGCUUCAGUACAAAAUGUGUGUGAACCGGCAACGCCGGUAAACAGUUUGAUUGUUCAAAUUAUUGGUGGAACAUUUAUCGCCAGUGAAAUCACAUACUUAUUAAUGAGCGAGUGAGUAGAAGGAGUAAAAAGUUUAGCUUCCAAUUGUAAAUUAAAUGCCGAACUAGAUGUUUUAAUGAGAGACAUAUUAGUUACGGGCAUCAACGAUGAAAAAUUGAUGGAUACAUUAUUUAAAAUGGAUUCGGUGAUUUGGUUACGCUUCCAACAGUAAUUGUAAAGUGAACGCAGAUUCAGUCAGAGUCUCAGCUAUAAAGAAGCAUAAUUCCAGAGGAAAUCAGAGUUUUGGAAAUUUGAACAUCAGAAGGUAGUCGCAUUCACUUUUCAUCGUCACUGGUCCAAAUCAGAGGUCAGAAGUCCAGAGGUCAAGCAGUGAACAAAGUCAAGGUAACAUCUCAACAGAGUGACGACGACGGUAAGACUGUAAGUGAUGGUAAGAAUCAAGACAAGAUCCAGGUUGAAAACGAUUUCCUUUCUGAGCAACCAUUAGUAAGUAAAUGUUUUUCGUGGGCUAAAAAACCAUUUAACCAGCGAGGGAGUAUUGAAACAUUGCACUUGCUACAGAUGAGGGGUAAAAGGUCACCUAGUGCCAGAAUAAAAAAAUCUCAUCAUUUCCUACUGAAAAUUCAAAGACUAAAAGACAGGAAACUGAAAAGUCUAUUUCUGAUUACUAAUAUUUUGUAUUCAGAACUUUGAAUAUAUCAGGUUUCUGGCCACGGGAGAGUCGUACAGAUCACUGCAUAUCGCCGUCUGCUCUAAGCACGAUAAUACCUACCUAAGGUGUUGGCUGUGCUUCAAAAAAAGCUUGUGCCGAUUUUUUCGCCCCCUCCUAACAAGAUAGACUGGGAACAGAAAGCCAAGGAGUUUUGGAAGCGUUGGGGUUUCCCUAAUUGUGUAUCAGCUAUUGAUGGGAAACAUGUAAGGAUUGUGGCUCCGUCCUCAUCAGGAAGUCUUUAUUUCAAUUACAAAGGGUUUUUUCAAUUGUGCUUCUCGCAAUGGUCGAUGCUAACUGCAAAUUUGUAGUUAUUGAUGUGGGUUCGUAUGGAAAGGAGGGUGAUGCAGGAAUUUUUAAUAAGUCGAAAAUGGGACUGUUAGUGAGAAACAAAAUUAUAUUUUCGCCUCCGAAAAACCUUCCGCAUUCCAACAUCUUGGUACCUCACGUAAUAGUUGAUGACGAAGCUUUCAGUUUGAGUGAGCACGUGAUGAAGCCGUACUCCAAAGCAUAUAUUUUGCAAGACGCACACAAAAGAAUGUUCAACUACUGUCUGAGCAAAGCCAGAAGAGUAUCUGAAAAUACUUUAGCGAUCAUGUGCGCAAUUUUCAGAUUUUUUUUUACUCCUAUACAUUUAAAGCCAGAAACUGUUGACUUAGUCGUUACUGUGUGUUGUUGCUUGCACAACUUGCUUAGGGAUGAAUACUUAUCUGAGAAUCUCUUCAGAGUACAUACAACUCCUAACUUCACAGAUUCACAACCCCAAAACUUGAUUCCUCUUGCAGGUACUGGUGGGUUUUCAAAAUCCGAUGGAUUUCAAGUGAGAGGUAGAUUCACUGAUUACUUCAGUAUGAACCUAGAUGAUUCAGACUGAAAAACUACUACUUCUGCUAGGUAAUAAUAAUUAGCCCUCGGCAGUGGUGUCUGAUUCAUACCAUGUUAUUCUUGUAAAUGUAAUUGUAUUAAAUACAUUUUACUAGUUUCAAA
rnacentral:lncRNA from 1 species